UGGGGGAUAUUGCACAAUGGGCGAAAGCCUGAUGCAGCGACGCCGCGUGGGGGAUGAAGUCUUUCGGGUUGUAAACCUCUUUCGCUAUCGAACAAGGCCCGCUUAGGGUGGGUUGAGGGUAGGUGGAGAAGAAGCGCCGGCUAACUACGUGCCAGCAGCCGCGGUAAUACGUAGGGCGCGAGCGUUGUCCGGAAUUAUUGGGCGUAAAGGGCUUGUAGGCGGCUUGUUGCGCCUGCUGUGAAAACGCGGGGCUUAACUUCGCGCGUGCAGUGGGUACGGGCAGGCUUGAGUGUGGUAGGGGUGACUGGAAUUCCAGGUGUAGCGGUGGAAUGCGCAGAUAUCUGGAGGAACACCGAUGGCGAAGGCAGGUCACUGGGCCAUUACUGACGCUGAGGAGCGAAAGCAUGGGUAGCGAACAGG
rnacentral:rRNA from 1 species